ACAGAGCGAGACUCCAUCUCAAAAAAAAAACAAAAAAACAAAACAAAACAACAACAACAACAACAAAAAACCCCACGAAUCCUACCAUGUUACUUCCCUUGCUUAAAACCUUAGUAGCUUCUCAUAUUAUGUUGCCACCCUGUUGAUUUUCCUCAUAGCUCUUAACUCACAGGAAUUAACAGUACUUGCUCUGUCCCCACUGGCGUGUAAGCUCUUUGAGGGCAGAGACCUUCUGGUCAGUGCUGUAUCAUCACACCUAGAACAUGGCCCGGCACAAAACAGGUGCUCAACAAGCACUUGUUAAGUAAACAUCUCCUACAAUACUCCUAUGAUCAUGUGGUUUUACAAAACUUAAGAGUUUUAAAAUCCAUUACAACUCUUCAACUCUAAGAUGCAUUUUCCAUCCCCUACAUUUCUACCUUUUUCCAAUCAGGACAUAGCUUACAAAUGAUAUACUUAAUGUAGUAGGGUUUUUCCACUAUUUCUCCUCAAAGGGCAUUUAAUAAAAUGAAAGUAACUUUGCAAUUGAGAAAAUAUGAUAAAAAAAUACCUUUAGGUGCAAUCUUUCAAGAGCCUAGGCACGUAAAACAUCCUGUCUACUUAAUUCUCACAACCUCUGAUGAUAGGAAUUCACAUGGCUAAUAAUGGCAGUCAGAGUUCCAACACAGACCUAUCUAGUGCCAAAGCUACAUGCAAUCUUUUUACUACAUUCCACAGUUGCUCUGUCUUACCUCUGUGUAACAGACGGAAACAAAAUCGUAUAAAACCACAGAAUUCACCUACAGUAUGAGGCAAUCCAAUUAAAGGAAAAGUCAUUCUCAGAACAGCUUUUAUUUAGUUUCAGAUUUGCAAAGGGAGACGUGACAUCAAGUUUGGAAGAAAGCUGAAUUACUGGGACUAACAGAGUGAAAAGAAUAUGGACUUUCAAGGAAUGGGGAAUAGGAAGGCCAGAAAAAUUUCCUUACUCCUUCUUCAAAGAUGAUGAAAUACAAAAUGACCCCAAAUGAAGCGGAUAGAACAAUCAGUGUUACAAGGAGUGGACACUGCAGUUUCCAGCGUUCUGUGACCUGUAAUAGUGCGACAGACUGAAUGCAGAAGCACAUAAACGAAUCCAGCUCUGUGAUUAAGCCAAGACAUUAAAGAGAUCUUCAAAAUGAAAACCAAUGCCACUUCUCUAAUAGACUUUUUUGUUUUGGAAAAUUUGUUUUUCCACGAAAGUAUUAUUUCUGUUACCAUAUAAUGGGUUAUUCUUUUUAAAUAAAUUAAUAUUUUUUAAAUGUCUUAGCUUUAAUUUCAAAGGUGGUAAAUAUCAGUAUGUAUUACAUGUAUGUAUUAUCUCUAACCCACAUAAGAGCUCUCUGGGGUCCUCAAUAAUUCUUAAGAGGGUAAAGGAGUCUCGAGACCAAAACUUCAGGAACCCUAAUACAGCCAUUCCAAACCUAACAAGGAAAAUAGUUUUACUUCGAGUUUCAUGUUCAUGGUGAAGUCAAGAAGAGAACGUGGUAACCUGGUUUGAUGGAGGGAGAUGAUGAGUUCGGCGUCAGUCUUUCCCAAUACC
rnacentral:lncRNA from 1 species